rnacentral:rRNA from 1 species
GACGGAGGAUGCAAGCGUUAUCCGGAUUUAUUGGGUUUAAAGGGAGCGUAGGCGGGACAAUAAGUCAGUGGUGAAAGCCUGGGGCUCAACCCCGGAACUGCCAUUGAUACUGUUGACCUAGAGUACAUUUGAUGUGGGCGGAAUGUGUCAUGUAGCGGUGAAAUGCUUAGAUAUGACACAGAACACCGAUUGCGUAGGCAGCUCACAAAACUGUAACUGACGCUGAGGCUCGAAAGCGUGGGGAUCAAACAGG